GAGUUUGAUCCUGGCCAGGACGAACCCUGGCGGCGUGCCUAACACAUGCAAGUCGAACGGGGCCGCCCCUGGUGGCAACACCUUGUACGGCCGAGUGGCGAACGGGUGAGUAACACGUGAGGAACCUGCCCCGAAGACCGGGAUAACAGGAGGAAACUCCUGCUAAUACCGGAUACCCCCACCGGACCGCAUGGUCUGGUGAGGAAAUGGAUUCCGCUUCGGGAGGGCCUCGCGGCCUAUCAGCUUGUUGGUGGGGUAACGGCCUACCAAGGCAUCGACGGGUAGCUGGUCUGAGAGGACGAUCAGCCACACUGGGACUGAGACACGGCCCAGACUCCUACGGGAGGCAGCAGUGGGGAAUCUUGCGCAAUGGGCGAAAGCCUGACGCAGCAACGCCGCGUGCGGGAUGAAGGCCCUCGGGUUGUAAACCGCUUUCAGCAGGGACGAAGAUGACGGUACCUGCAGAAGAAGCCCCGGCCAACUACGUGCCAGCAGCGCGG
rnacentral:rRNA from 1 species